GACGAACGCUGGCGGCAUGCCUAAUACAUGCAAGUGGGACGCAAGGAAACACACUGUGCGUGCACACCGUGUUUACUUGAGAAGCGAACGGGUUAGUAACGCGUAGGUAACCUGCCUAUUAGCGGGAGUUAACUAUUGGAAACGAUAGCUAAUACCGCAUAAUAUUAAUUAUUGCAUGAUAUUUGAUUGAAAGAUUGAGGCGCAUCACUAGUAGAGUGACCUGCAUUGUAUUAGGUAGUUGGGCAGGUAAGAGCUUACCAAGGCGAAGAUACAGAGCCGAACCGAGGGGGUGGUCGGCCACAAUGGGAAUGGGACAAGGCCCAGACCUCUGACGGAGGCAGCAGGAGGGAAACUUCGGAAAGGGGCGGAAGGCUGGCUGAGGCAAUACGCGGGAGUGGAGAAGGGCUUCGGAUCGUAAAGGUCUGUUGUUAGUGAAGAACGAGCGUGAGAUUGGAAAGUAGAAGCAGUGACGGUAGCUGACGAGUAAGCAACGGCUAACUACGUG
rnacentral:rRNA from 1 species